GGGACCGCACAAGCGGUGGAUGAUGUGGAUAAUUCGAUGCAACGCGAAAACCUUACCUACCCUUGACAUGUCCGGAAUCCCGAAGAGAUUUGGGAGUGCUCGCAAGAGAACCGGAACACAGGUGCUGCAUGGCUGUCGUCAGCUCGUGUCGUGAGAUGUUGGGUUAAGUCCCGCAACGAGCGCAACCCUUGUCAUUAGUUGCUACAUUCAGUUGGGCACUCUAAUGAGACUGCCGGUGACAAGCCGGAGGAAGGUGGGGAUGACGUCAAGUCCUCAUGGCCCUUAUAGGUGGGGCUACACACGUCAUACAAUGGCUGGGUACAAAGGGUUGCCAACCCGCGAGGGGGAGCCAAUCCCAUAAAGCCAGUCGUAGUCCGGAUCGUAGUCUGCAACUCGACUACGUGAAGUCGGAAUCGCUAGUAAUCGCGGAUCAGCAUGUCGCGGUGAAUACGUUCCCGGGUCUU
rnacentral:rRNA from 1 species